rnacentral:rRNA from 1 species
AACGGUAACAGGUCUUCGGAUGCUGACGAGUGGCGAACGGGUGAGUAAUACAUCGGAACGUGCCCGAGAGUGGGGGAUAACGGAGCGAAAGCUUUGCUAAUACCGCAUACGAUCUCAGGAUGAAAGCAGGGGACCGCAAGGCCUUGCGCUCACGGAGCGGCCGAUGGCAGAUUAGGUAGUUGGUGGGAUAAAAGCUUACCAAGCCGACGAUCUGUAGCUGGUCUGAGAGGACGACCAGCCACACUGGGACUGAGACACGGCCCAGACUCCUACGGGAGGCAGCAGUGGGGAAUUUUGGACAAUGGGCGCAAGCCUGAUCCAGCCAUGCCGCGUGCAGGAUGAAGGCCUUCGGGUUGUAAACUGCUUUUGUACGGAACGAAAAGACUCUGGUUAAUACCUGGGGUCCAUGACGGUACCGUAAGAAUAAGCACCGGCUAGCUACGUGCCAGCAGCCGCGGUAAUACGUAGGGUGCGAGCGUUAAUCGGAAUUACUGGGCGUAAAGCGUGCGCAGGCGGUUAUGUAAGACAGAUGUGAAAUCCCCGGGCUCAACCUGGGAACUGCAUUUGUGACUGCAUAGCUAGAGUACGGCAGAGGGGGAUGGAAUUCCGCGUGUAGCAGUGAAAUGCGUAGAUAUGCGGAGGAACACCGAUGGCGAAGGCAAUCCCCUGGGCCUGUACUGACGCUCAUGCACGAAAGCGUGGGGAGCAAACAGGAUUAGAUAUCUUGGUAGUCCACGCCCUAAACGAUGUCAACUGGUUGUUGGGUCUUCACUG